GAUGAACGCUGGCGGCGUGCCUAAUACAUGCAAGUCGAGCGAACGGACGAGAAGCUUGCUUCACUGAUGUUAGCGGCGGACGGGUGAGUAACACGUGGAUAACCUACCUAUAAGACUGGGAUAACUUCGGGAAACCGGAGCUAAUACCGGAUGAUAUUUUGAACCGCAUGGUUCAAAAGUGAAAGACGGUCUUGCUGUCACUUAUAGAUGGAUCCGCGCUGCAUUAGCUAGUUGGUAAGGUAACGGCUUACCAAGGCAACGGUGCAUAGCCGACCUGAGAGGAUGAUCGGCCACACUGGAACAGAGACACGGUCCAGACUCCUACGGGAGGCAGCAGUAGGGAAUCUUCCGCAAUGGGCGAAAGCCUGACGGAGCAAAACCGCGUGAGUGAUGAAGGUCUUCGGAUCGUAAAACUCUGUUAUUAGGGAAGAACAUAUGUGUAAGUAACUGUGCACAUCUUGACGGUACCUAAUCAGAAAGCCACGGCUAACUACGUG
rnacentral:rRNA from 1 species